rnacentral:lncRNA from 1 species
UGUACGGUGGCGAUCGGCGUUUGGCGGGGGAGCCGAGGCUCGGUUUGGAGAGGUCCGGGAGGGAGAGGGGAGUGCAGUGGGUGGUGAUGGGCGCGCCGGGAGCCUGGAGGCACAUCUUCGCAGAGAGGCUCUCAAGCCUUCUUGAAGUUGCUCACAUUUCCAUGGGAUCGCUCGUCCGUCAAGAGCUCAGCCCUACAUCUUCUCUCUACAAGCAGGUAUUUUUAUUUAUAAGGAGGUUACUUAAUGGUUUAAUUAGGGGUUUUUAAUUUGUUACUAAUCUUGCAUUGAUUGAUUGCAAAGUUGUUUAAAUGUUUUCCUCUUCUAAGGAAAUACUUAUCAUUUACUAAUAAGUAAUAACUAACUACAAAUGAUUAAAACAUCAUCUCCUUUUCCUGUUUUGGAAAUUCGUUUGUAAGUGUUUCUGAGCUUAUUUUAAUUCUCUUAUCUGUACAAAUAUACAGAUUGCUAGUGCUGUAAAUGAAGGAAAGCAUGUUCCCAAGGGUCUUGUGUUUGCUUUGCUAUCAAAGCGCCUUGAAGAAGGCUAUGCACGGGGAGAAUCUGGUUUCAUUCUUGAUGGCAUUCCCCGCACUCUUAUUCAAGCCGUGAGUGUGUUGCUGCUCUUUUUAUUUAGCCUCCAAAACAGCCAUUUGAUUUCCACUGUUUCUGAAUAUUACUAUUAUUCUUUUCCGCAGGAAACUCUUGAUCAAAUCGCUCAGAUUGACCUCGUCCUGAAUCUUAAAUGCUCUGAGGAGCACCGAUCUGCUCUUAGUGAAACACCUCUACCUCCCCAGGAGUUCCUCGGCUCUUCUAUCUUACACUCUGCUGUUGCAAUCAAAUCCCGGAGGAGGGAGAGCCUGAGUGUCUACGCAGAGGAGGAGGUACUAUUGCUGUUUUUUUUUAUUUUCUUCUCGUCUUAUUACUAAAUAGAAAAUAAAAUCUUAUGGGGGAUGCAUCAGGUGAAGCCCCUGGAAGAUUACUACAGGAAGCAGAGGAAACUUCUGGACUUUCAUGUCGGUGGUGCCACAUCAGCAGAAACAUGGCAGGGCCUAUUGUCAGCCUUGCAUCUGAAGCAAGCGAAGAAUUUGGCGACUUCACAGAAGCUGACUCUGUGAUGAUGAUGAACACAGCAUAGUCUUCUAAGCUUUGCUUUAUAAAUUUUGAUCCUUUUCUUUUCGUUUUGUUUUGAUGGGUCUGUUUCAGGCAGGCACCACCUAAUUUUUCUUUUGCUUUCACAAUAUGCAACUCAAAAAUUUAAGUUUUGCAAGAGAGCUCCUAAAGUGAUGAGGAUGAAACACUUAAAGCUUGUAAUGAGUCUAUAAAUAUAUAUAUAUAUAGAGAGUAAUAAUUUCCCUAUAACCGAAUGUUGUCCAUGAUUGUUAUUUAGUGGUGUUAGAAUAGAUUUGCCUUACUUGUUAUACAACCUCGUGCACGUGUCUGAUACAAACAUGUCUUUGAUACUGUUACUUGUGAUAAUUAAAGUUCGUGCUACAUAGCAACACCAACAACGAACUGGCAAAGACAUAACACCACCGUAAGUGAGAACUGAAACAGAAAAACACAUCAAUGUCUGGUUGGUUAGUCCCUGUUGGUCCAACACUCCCUGAGAAGUUGAUACCAGGUUUUUUAGAAUUAUAGUAAUGUUUAGAAUUUGAUUUCUACAUGUUUUAGAUUUAUAGUAAAUCUGUAGAAGUCGGUUUCUACAUGUUUUAGAAUUAGAUUAAUGUGUAGAUUUUGAUUUCUAAGAAUUUUAGAAUGGUAGGUUAAGCGCGGAAUGUGUAUUCUACAUAUUUGUAGAAUACUCCUAUUUACGUAGAUCACGUAUUCUAAACAUUGUAGAUUCAAUGAAAAAAGUAGAUUUCUACUUUUUUUAGAACAUAAUCUGAAAUUUAUAAUUUUAAAUUUUUUAUAACUGAAAAAUAUACCAUUAAAUUCAUAUAGGUAUUUUAACAAAUAUUACUAUUUUUCCAAUUUUUUUUUGUUUGUAAAACUAUUUAUUAAAAUUAUUUUCAUAAAUAUUAAAGAGUAUUAUAAGAAAAUAUGACACAAAAUAUAGAUUAGUCUAAAGGGCCAUAGUUACUAUUUUUUUGCUAAAAAAAACAGUUUUCCCUAGAAUAAAUGAAUAAUUAGACACAGCAUUUAUCAAUAAGCAUUUAUCAAUAGUUUAUGUUCCUAAUUUUUAAUAGUAUUGAUGCUUAUGACCCAGUAUAUGACCACUAAGUCAAUACAUCUUGAUUGGCCUGAAAAAGCAAACCACUUUACAUUUGUCGGCACUAAAGCAACCAAUCGAUCACAGCUAUUAACAACUUUAGUUACUUAAUACGCACUAUAUUCGUUUAAACUUUAAUUAUUUGUUUCUUGGACAAAAAAGUAAACUAACGCAAAGAAUUAUAUGAUCAUAUCACCUGAGGAAUCCCGAGGAGUGGAAUCUAUGAAAGAGUUCCCAUUGAUCGUGGCCGGAUUGGUGACGUCAUUCUUGACGGGGGAUGUCGUGUCAGGUUCAGAGAUUAGGGCCGAAAGCUUUACGGCGGAAUCAGAGGAGGUCUUGAUGGUGUUGUGAGAAGAGGAGACACAGGAUCCCAUCUGAAGACUCACUCGUGUCCAGCACAGAGAGCAAGAAUGAUUUGGGUUAGGAGAGAGUGGGGGGAAAUGAGUUUAGAGGAUCUAAAAGGCACAGAGAGGGAAUGAAGGAAGGAAGAUGAAGAAGCAAAGAGAGGGGCUUCAAAGCCAAGUUAAUGGUAUGACAAAAAGAGCAGUUUCGAUUUGGUAAGUGUCUUAAUUGUCUCGUUUAUUUUCAAAUAAUUUAUUAUGGCCUCUUCGUAUUGGUCCUCCUAACAUUAUGAUAUGGGCUCCCCCACACUUUAUUUGUUUUAUCUAAUCUUUCUAUUUUCUUGGUUUGUUGUUUCAAUGUUUUUUUUUGACUCCUUGCAUUUUGUCAUUCUGUUUCGUGCCGCAUGAAAUGUACGCCCCCCUCUCACAUCUAAUUUAGAAACAUCUAAUAUUUUUUGGUUCGUAAAACAAUUUUUUUUAUAACCGAGGUCAACCGACUAAUCUCACAGAAAUCAUAAAACAAAUACUAUAUUUCAUCUAGUUCUCCAUAAUUAGAACAUGGGCGAUACAAGAAAUGAUUCAUUUAGAAAUAUCUAUCAGGCUUUAGUGUUUUUAAAUUUUUUUGGUAGUUUUGGGUUGAUGAACACUCCAUCCUAGUAUAGGCUGAGAUGAUUGUGUGUAAUGAACUCUUAAAUCUUUGAUGUUUAAUUUCAAUUAUCAGAUAAUAAAAAAAAGUUGAUUCAUUUUGGACAAGAGGUUAAUGGGUGGUCAGGUCAAUCAUAACCAGAUCCAUAGUUCUUCAUCUUAAGUAAAUGGACAGCGUUUUGAUUGAAAAUAUCUACAAAGUGGGAAAAAAGAAGAAUAAAAGACAAGAGUUUCCCUUUACACUAGGACAAUGACUCUACGUUUGGUCGAGAUUCGGGUUGAAUGAAGAUCUCAGAGGUAAAGUUUGGGAUGUCAAUAUUAAUACCCUGUUCUUUUAGAAGACGGCAGCGUCUACGGCUUGCGGCCAAAUUUAUAAUUGUUUCUUGGGGGGGGGGGUGCUUAGCGUUGGACGUGAACGGGAGUAUGAUUCAUCAUCUUCCGUCGCCGCUCAGUGAAACUGCUACAAGAAACCAAACGCAGAACGCAGCUGCCUUGAGCCGACGAUUUCACCCUCUUAAGUUGUUGUCUUUCUGUAUCAUUAUUAUUAUAAGGAGUCGCCGGUGCAGAAGAUCUGACCGGUGUUCUUAGCCAGAGACAUGCUCUUGCUUUGCUUUCCGCCACGUCAUCCUCUCCUUCGUCCUCAUCUUGAUCCUGCGUCUCUUUGAAGAGUUCGAGGAGUCUCUUCUUGUUGUCUGUUGGAGACGGCUCUUCGUGUUUUUUCUCAUCUGCUUUAGGAGUUUUGUCAGAGAAUUUGUGAUGCACCGGUGUUGUUCCUCGCGACGGCGUAAAUUCUGCAAUGAAACAAGUCAAAUGUUCAGUCAUUAUUUAUUGAAAAAUAUUAUAGAUAUAUGUUACAAAGUAACUUCUCAAUAAAACGUCAUACCACCAUCAACGCUCAUGAAAUCAUCUUCACAGUCAGAAUCAAGCCACCCCCUUGAAUCGAAAAAAGUGAUCUCCUCUUUAUUUACAUUAAGAAACAAUCCAAAUCAUCAUUAUCUCAUAUAAUACUAUGUCACAACUCACAAGGAAGAGGAUAAUGGACACUUUUAAACUGUAAGGUAAAAGAAAUUGGAGGUUUUGAGUAAAUGCAGUAGCUGUACGUACCCCUAACUAACUACACCGGUUGUUCUGAUUUUUUAACAAUACGUUUCAACAUCAUACAUUUAUUAAAUGUUAUGAUUUUUUAAUAUAUGAAAGUUGCAACUUGAGGUAUGGUCCAUGUAUACAUAUCACUCUAACUGUAUAAUAUUGGUAUAUGCCUUGAAGACAUUCUAACCUCUAGCGUACGCUUCACCCUUUGCCCAUAUGAUACUACUACUAUUGUUUUGUAAAUUGAUAGAUCCCUGUUGUUACCCAUGUUUAUGACCAUCAUCAAACUAACUUUAUCAAUUUAAAAGCUCAUUUUCAUCUAACUAAUGCUUAUGACUCAGUAUAUGAUCUCUAAGUCAAUACAUCUUGAUUGGCCUGAAAAAGCAAACCACUUUACAUUUGUCGGCACUAAAGCAACCAAUCGAUCACAGCUAUUAACAACUUUAGUUACUUAAUACGCACUAUAUUCGUUUAAACUUUAAUUAUUUGUUUCUUGGACAAAAAAGUAAACUAACGCAAAGAAUUAUAUGAUCAUAUCACCUGAGGAAUCCCGAGGAGUGGAAUCUAUGAAAGAGUUCCCAUUGAUCGUGGCCGGAUUGGUGACGUCAUUCUUGACGGGGGAUGUCGUGUCAGGUUCAGAGAUUAGGGCCGAAAGCUUUACGGCGGAAUCAGAGGAGGUCUUGAUGGUGUUGUGAGAAGAGGAGACACAGGAUCCCAUCUGAAGACUCACUCGUGUCCAGCACAGAGAGCAAGAAUGAUUUGGGUUAGGAGAGAGUGGGGGGAAAUGAGUUUAGAGGAUCUAAAAGGCACAGAGAGGGAAUGAAGGAAGGAAGAUGAAGAAGCAAAGAGAGGGGCUUCAAAGCCAAGUUAAUGGUAUGACAAAAAGAGCAGUUUCGAUUUGGUAAGUGUCUUAAUUGUCUCGUUUAUUUUCAAAUAAUUUAUUAUGGCCUCUUCGUAUUGGUCCUCCUAACAUUAUGAUAUGGGCUCCCCCACACUUUAUUUGUUUUAUCUAAUCUUUCUAUUUUCUUGGUUUGUUGUUUCAAUGUUUUUUUUUGACUCCUUGCAUUUUGUCAUUCUGUUUCGUGCCGCAUGAAAUGUACGCCCCCCUCUCACAUCUAAUUUAGAAACAUCUAAUAUUUUUUGGUUCGUAAAACAAUUUUUUUUAUAACCGAGGUCAACCGACUAAUCUCACAGAAAUCAUAAAACAAAUACUAUAUUUCAUCUAGUUCUCCAUAAUUAGAACAUGGGCGAUACAAGAAAUGAUUCAUUUAGAAAUAUCUAUCAGGCUUUAGUGUUUUUAAAUUUUUUUGGUAGUUUUGGGUUGAUGAACACUCCAUCCUAGUAUAGGCUGAGAUGAUUGUGUGUAAUGAACUCUUAAAUCUUUGAUGUUUAAUUUCAAUUAUCAGAUAAUAAAAAAAAGUUGAUUCAUUUUGGACAAGAGGUUAAUGGGUGGUCAGGUCAAUCAUAACCAGAUCCAUAGUUCUUCAUCUUAAGUAAAUGGACAGCGUUUUGAUUGAAAAUAUCUACAAAGUGGGAAAAAAGAAGAAUAAAAGACAAGAGUUUCCCUUUACACUAGGACAAUGACUCUACGUUUGGUCGAGAUUCGGGUUGAAUGAAGAUCUCAGAGGUAAAGUUUGGGAUGUCAAUAUUAAUACCCUGUUCUUUUAGAAGACGGCAGCGUCUACGGCUUGCGGCCAAAUUUAUAAUUGUUUCUUGUUCACGCAUCCCGAGAAUAAUGCUGCUACCGAUGCUUUCGCCUAUCAAAAAUAGCCGCAGAUCAUUCUAACUGCCGCUACUUUUUAUAGCGUCACAGACGACGCUGAAAGCCUUGACGAAAAUAAUCGCAGCGUCAGCUUAGUUAAUUUUCCACCAUUUUUUUGUUUAUUUUGAUAUUCAGUUUUUUUUAUCGCAAGCUGCUGUGUCGGCGUCUUCUAAAAGAACAUGGGUAAUUGUAUGUGAGGGAUGAAUUGACUUUACCAUUAAUUUCAGAGAUUACAAUCCUUUGGUAAAGAAAGGUGGCAUGGAAAAUGAAGGGUUUAUCUGUGAUGUUUAAAGUUAUGAUGUAUGUGAAACUCUUAGGCUGUUUGAGCAUGGAAAUGAAAUUAACAGAUGACAAAAAAGAAAGAAAGGUGGCUAGUCCGUUUAUAAAACUGUAUAUAAAUAUAUCCCUACAUAUUAUUGCAUCAUAACCCUAAACUCAUCAAAGUUAAUAAUUCCAUCGCUAUUAAUAUCAAAUUGCGAAAUCAUAACCUCGCAUUCUUCAAGGCUUUUGGACUCCCCCAACAAACUAAGCAUCCUCUUUAAACUUUUAGGGGUGAUGCCUUCACUCUCUUCAUACAUCUUGAAAGCUUGCUUCAAGUCAUUCUCCUUGUCUUCCUCGUCUCCUUCUUCCACCAGCUUCACAAACUCCUCGAGUUCCAAGGAUUUAUGAGUAUGUGUAUCCGUUGUCUCUUCUUCAGGUACGACCUUUUCCCCGGACUUAAUAGCAUCGACACAUCGUUCGAUGGUGGAAACAGAAACAUUCCCUUGUUGGCUCUUGUCAAAGCAACUAAAUACCCUUUGAUACUCUUCACGUUUUGUAACGUUCUUGCUAUUCUUCAUAGAAUAUUAUCAAAUAAGAGUUGAGAGAAGGGAAAAAUGAAGAAGAGAGGAUAUGAAUAUAGUAAAGAUUAUGUAUCUUCUUUCCUUGGAGCAUUGAGGCAUUAAUAGAAAUGUGGAGUACUUUAUAUAUAGAAGAAGACUGGACCAGGGAGGUUUGACAAACGAUAUUAAAAGAAAGAAACAUGUUCAAUAUUGGACCGUACGUUAACAUAUGUGGUCGGAGUUUCUUUACGGCGCUUCAAAGGACAAGAGACACUUAGUUCCCGCGGCUUUUAAUUCCCAAAGUUGACAAGUUUCCCAUUUUUUUCUUUGUAUAAGGAAUUGCUCGGUGAUUUCGUAACUAAGACGAGGAAGAUUCCGUUGACUUUGACUAUUCUUCUUUCGUGAUCGUGAGCAAGCUCUUACAUCAGGAGAAUAGAUUUUCUGAUUUUGGCUUAGAGUGUUCGUUGACAUUUUGGAUCGUUGAAUACAAUUGGGCCUCUAUAAUUAUGGGCUUGGGCCGAGCAUUUAAUAUGGGUUUGUCACUUGAACCUAGAUGGAGCUGUGAGGUAGAGAGUCAACAACGCAGUGAGUGGCAAAUAUCCGUGGAUUAGUGAAAAAGGGAGGGGCAGUUAAGACAGAGAGAGAGAGUUCCCAUCUGUGUUGUUUGUUGUUAAACCUCAACCUCGCAUUCAUUCCAACUCUGUCUCCUCUCUGAAUCCGCCGCCGCCACGCCUGACACCAAUCACCAUGGCAUGGGUGAGCCGCGUGAGAGGAGGAGUUUCGCCGCUUUCAAGGCUCGUUGCGGCGGCGCGGCGAUCGUUCGGAUCAUCGGCGGCAGUGGCGUUUGACUACGACUCCGAUGAGGAGUACGUGUACGGUGGCGAUCCGAGACUUGAUUUGGAGAGGUCUGGGAGGGAGAGGGGAGUGCAGUGGGUGGUGAUGGGCGCUCCUGGAGCCUGGAGGCACGUCUUCGCAGAGAGGCUCUCAAGCCUUCUUGAAGUUUCUCACAUUUCCAUGGGAUCGCUCGUCCGUCAACAGCUCAGCCCUACAUCUUCUCUCUACAAGCAG